rnacentral:lncRNA from 1 species
GAUUUUUAAGGCACAACAAAAUGUUUCACUUGUAUUCCCCCUCUAGGACCUUCAAGUUUGCUCUUCAGACUACCUGAAGUUGUGUCCCACUCUCGUAUGGCCAUCAAUGCUCCUAGAAGAAAGAACUGACCAUUAGGACUAAAUUGAUUUUUUGCAUUCCCAAGUUCUUUCUCAGAAAACAUGUUCCCUUCAUAAGUAGAAUCUUCCCAGUUUAUUUUGCUAAAGUAAUCGAAAAUCAGAAUAAAAUUUAUUAGAACCAUUUAGAGGAGAAUCAAACUCACUGUUGUCAAUAGGGGAAAGCAUAAGUAGCACUAUAUUUAACCUAAAAUUUCAGGCAACGUUUUUUCAAAAGAGUAGCACUUGUACUUGUGACCUUAUUUUCUUAGAAGAGGAGCAAUUGUCCUCUUCAUGAUGUUCAUAUUUACUCCUCAUUAUCCCAAUUCAAAGUUCAGCUUCAAUUCUAUCCGACAAACGAACUCCAAAAUCAUUUAUUUCUACAAAUUCAUUUAUUUCUCAAAACAAUGAUAUACUGAAAUUGUGAAAUGGUUUAAGCUUCAAUUCUAACCACUUACUUUUCUCAUGAGACGAUUAUACGCGCUAAAAUUGCUCUCAAUAUUGCAAACCACGAAUAAAAUUAUCAAUAACUUAAUUUAACUUCUAAAAAUGAAGAAAUUCAAUUAGUUACCAGUGAAGGAGGAAGAAUACCGACAUAGCAGAGGUGUUGAAAGGCAUGCAGCGGAGGUGGAUUUGGAGUCUCGGAUAGCGGUGGUGGAUACGGUGGUUUGGGUGGCCGUGGUGAACAUGAUGGCUCUAGUGGCGGUGAAUACGGUGGCUGUGAUGGCGAUGAAUAAGGUGGCUACGGUGAUUCUGGAGGAGAAGGGCAGCGGAUCUAAU